AUUGAACGCUGGCGGCAUGCUUUACACAUGCAAGUCGAACGGUAACAGGUUAAGCUGACGAGUGGCGAACGGGUGAGUAAUGCAUCGGAACGUGCCCAGUCGUGGGGGAUAACGCAGCGAAAGCUGUGCUAAUACCGCAUACGAUCUAUGGAUGAAAGCGGGGGACCUAAGGCCUCGCGCGAUUGGAGCGGCCGAAUGUCAGAUUAGCUAGUUGGUGGGGUAAAGGCCCACCAAGGCGACGAUCUGUAGCUGGUCUGAGAGGACGACCAGCCACACUGGAACUGAGACACGGUCCAGACUCCUACGGGAGGCAGCAGUGGGGAAUUUUGGACAAUGGGCGCAAGCCUGAUCCAGCAAUGCCGCGUGCAGGAAGAAGGCUGUGU
rnacentral:rRNA from 1 species